UACGUAGGUGACCAGCGUUGUCCGGAUUUACUGGGCGUAAAGAGCGCGCAGGCGGUCGUUCAAGUCGAGUGUGAAAGCCCCCGGCUCAACUGGGGAGGGUCAUUCGAUACUGAUCGACUCGAAGGCAGGAGAGGGUAGUGGAAUUCCCGGUGUAGUGGUGAAAUGCGUAGAUAUCGGGAGGAACACCAGUGGCGAAGGCGGCUUUCUGGACGGUGACUGACGCUGAGACGCGAAAGCGUGGGGAGCAAACAGGG
rnacentral:rRNA from 1 species